AUUGAACGCUGGCGGCAGGCCUAACACAUGCAAGUCGAGCGGAUGAAGUGAGCUUGCUCCUGGAUUCAGCGGCGGACGGGUGAGUAAUGCCUAGGAAUCUGCCUGGUAGUGGGGGAUAACGUCCGGAAACGGGCGCUAAUACCGCAUACGUCCUGAGGGAGAAAGUGGGGGAUCUUCGGACCUCACGCUAUCAGAUGAGCCUAGGUCGGAUUAGCUAGUUGGUGGGGUAAAGGCCUACCAAGGCGACGAUCCGUAACUGGUCUGAGAGGAUGAUCAGUCACACUGGAACUGAGACACGGUCCAGACCCCUACGGGAGGCAGCAGUGGGGAAUAUUGGACAAUGGGCGAAAGCCUGAUCCAGCCAUGCCGCGUGUGUGAAGAAGGUCUUCGGAUUGUAAAGCACUUUAAGUUGGGAGGAAGGGCAGUAAGUUAAUACCUUGCUGUUUUGACGUUACCAACAGAAUAAGCACCGGCUAACUUCGUG
rnacentral:rRNA from 1 species